CGGGGGGGGGCAAGCGUUGUUCGGGAAUUACUGGGGCGUAAAGAGCGCGUAGGCGGUAGAGUAAGUCAGAUGUGAAAUCCUUUCUCUCAAAGGGAAGAAUUGCGUUUGAAACUAUUCUGCUAGAGUGCAGGAGAGGAGAGUGGAAUUCCCGGUGUAGCGGUGAAAUGCGUAGAUAUUGGGAGGAACACCUGUGGCGAAGGCGGCUCUCUGGACUGUCACUGACGCUGAGGCGCGAAAGCGUGGGGAGCAAACGGGAUUAGAUACCCCGGUAGUCCACGCCGUAAACGAUGGGCACUAGGUGUAGAGAGCAUCAACCCUUUCUGUGCCGAAGCUAACGCAUUAAGUGCCCCGCCUGGGAAGUACGGUCGCAAAGGCUG
rnacentral:rRNA from 1 species